rnacentral:rRNA from 1 species
GGAGAUAGUUCUCGUUGGUGACCAGCGGAGGGAUCAUUACCGAGUUAUACAACUCAUCAACCCUGUGAACAUACCUAAAACGUUGCUUCGGCGGGAACAGACGGCCCUGUAACAACGGGCCGCCCCCGCCAGAGGACCCCUAACUCUGUUUUUAUAAUGUUUUUCUGAGCAAACAAGCAAAUAAAUUAAAACUUUCAACAACGGAUCUCUUGGCUCUGGCAUCGAUGAAGAACGCAGCGAAAUGCGAUAAGUAAUGUGAAUUGCAGAAUUCAGUGAAUCAUCGAAUCUUUGAACGCACAUUGCGCCCGCCAGUAUUCUGGCGGGCAUGCCUGUUCGAGCGUCAUUACAACCCUCAGGCCCCCGGGCCUGGCGUUGGGGAUCGGCAGAAGCCCCCUGUGGGCACACGCCGUCCCUCAAAUACAGUGGCGGUCCCGCCGCAGCUUCCAUUGCGUAGUAGCUAACACCUCGCAACUGGAGAGCGGCGCGGCCAUGCCGUAAAACACCCAACUUCUGAAUGUUGACCUCGAAUCAGGUAGGAAUACCCGCUGAACUUAAGCAUAUCAAUAAGCGGAGGAA